rnacentral:ncRNA from 2 species
UACUUAUCCAGAGAGGUGGAGGGACUGGCCCUACGAUACCUCGGCAACGGGUUUGUUGUUCCGAAACAAAUACCGUGCUAAUUCCUGCAAAUCGUUUAAGCGAUUUGAAAGAUAAGAA